rnacentral:rRNA from 1 species
UGCAUCGGAACGUGCCCAAUGGUGGGGGAUAGCCCGGCGAAAGCCGGAUUAAUACCGCAUGAGACCCACGGGUAAAAGCGGGGGACCGUAAGGCCUCGCGCCAUUGGAGCGGCCGAUGUCGGAUUAGGUUGUUGGUGAGGUAAAGGCUCACCAAGCCGACGAUCUGUAGCUGGUCUGAGAGGACGACCAGCCACACUGGGACUGAGACACGGCCCAG